GGAAGAAGGUUGUCGUCAGCAUGGCAGGGAUCUACUUCCCAAAACACUAUACACGAUAGGCAUAAAUUGCCCUUCCACACCCCGAUCCUGUUCCAAUAGUUGCCUGUUGCCUGUCCUUAACUAAUAUCUGGUCUCAUGCUGGGCCUCAAGGAAUGAUAUAAAAGAAGAGGAAAUUAUUAUCUGUACAGCCCAGCUGCUUAUACUGUUAGAUGCUGGGUCAGGCAAACCACCAGUUCCACUUUAAAGAUCCAGUUUUAAUUUAGUCUUAGAAAUCAGAAGUCCCCAGCCAGAAGAACCAAUGGAUUAAACUAUUUCAGAAACUGAUUUUUUUGACCCCAGCUGUGUGUCAUCCACACGCUGUGUCACCACGCUCUCUGGAAAACACAGCGUGUGGUGUGAUUUCACAGCACUCUUGUUUCCCACCACGCUUGUGAGACAGAACUGCACCAUGGCACAUCUCACCCGGGAGACAGCCUCUCCUGGCAGGAUGCUUCGUACCAGGCACAAGGUCUGUUCUGUAGUGAUAAAACACUAAUGGAGAGCAAGUGAAGGCCCAGUGUCAUUCCAGGGAAAGACAGACCACUUAGAAGAAGCUCAGAGUUUCCAAGCAGGUGCAUCUCUGCUUCCUGUGAAAAGUUCCUGGGAGGAGAAACAAGAUACAAGUGUUUCUCCAUGGACCUCUGGUUUAUGGCUACCUCAGUAAAGGUGUAGGUUACAAGAAGGACACUCUGUCUUCUCAAUCUGUUACUGCUGCCACUCCCUUGGUCUGCUCAUGUACACGUAGAGCCAGCAUUGUGAGAAACUGUCUGUGGGGACUGUGAUCAAACCAUUGCUAUCUGUCACCCACACAUGCCCAGACCCACACACUCUACACACAUGUACACACUGAUAUCUCUCAUUCAUUUCUAAAAUAUCAUUGCAGAUUUAUUUUGAGCUGACACCACCCAGAAAAUUUCUUCUCAUCUUAAUAAUGUGACAGGUAGCUAACGUGCAAAGGUAUGCCUUAUAAUAAUUGCACAGAGACUUCCAGAGAAAUAAAAUUGUGGUUUUGUACUGCUUCCCUUCCCUAAGAGCUGGAGAGGGGAUGUUAGGGCACCUUACAAGGGAGGAGAUGAAUAAACCUUUUGGCUUAAUUCAUUUCUGUGUCACCUACUUCAGCAUUAUUGAUUAGUCAGAAGUGAAACUGACCAAAAGGGGAUGAGGGUGCAGGGGAAACACUUUUAAAAUGUGACUUAAUCUUCUUGAGCUGCCUGGACACUUUUUAUUCCUUAGGUCACUUAGAAGGUUGCUGUAACUUUCCCCUCACUUCUGCUCUUUCAGCUGUGCCCUGACUGCUUCUUCCUUCUUAUAACAAACCUGAGCUAUUUCUUCAUCCUCAAGGUCCUUUAAUGCCCUAUUGUUAUCUUAGCUCUCAUCUUUGCACUGAGACACAGAUAUUUCCCUGAAUAGCCAGUGGUGCCAGUUUUCAUUAGUCACUUCUUAGAUUUUAAAGGAAGCACAGUGUGCCCCAGACAUCUGAAAAGCCUUCUCCAUCUCUUCCUGCUCCCCUCAGUGUUUCUCAUCAGCAAAACUGGGCAGUGUUUAGAAGUCUGAUGUACUAGCCCCUUCCAGCCCUAAAAGAUGCCAGGCAGUCUUACUGUUUUCCUCUGUCUUUUUGGCUCCAUCUGUAUUGAACUGUUGUCCUG